rnacentral:ribozyme from 1 species
AAUGUGGACACUGCCAAUACUUCACUUCCGCGGCGAUCUGAUGUGUGUGACAACGCAGCGACAAGGUAACGCACGAAUUCUUGACCGA